GACGAACGCUGGCGGCGUGCUUAACACAUGCCAGUCGAACGGAAAGGCCCCUUUGGGGGUACUCGAGUGGCGAACGGGUGAGUAACACGUGAGUAACCUGCCCUUGACUUCGGGAUAACUUCAGGAAACUGGGGCUAAUACCGGAUAGGAAUCCUUGCUGCAUGGUGGGGGUUGGAAAGCUUCGGCGGUUUUGGAUGGACUCGCGGCUUAUCAGCUUGUUGGUGGGGUAGUGGCUUACCAAGGCUUUGACGGGUAGCCGGCCUGAGAGGGCGACCGGCCACAUUGGGACUGAGAUACGGCCCAGACUCCUACGGGAGGCAGCAGUGGGGAAGAUUGCACAAUGGGCGGAAGCCUGAUGCAGCAACGCCGCGUGCGGGAUGACGGCCUUCGGGUUGGAAACCGCUUUCAGCAGGGGCGAAGCUUGUGGUGACGGUACUUGCAGAAGAAGCACCGGCUAACUACGUG
rnacentral:rRNA from 1 species